rnacentral:rRNA from 1 species
AACGAACGCUGGCGGCGUGCUUAAUACAUGCAAGUCGAACGUGAUUCCCGACUUCGGUUGGGAUGAAAGUGGCGAACGGGUGAGUAACACGUAAGUAAUCUGCCUUCAAGUUUGGGAUAACCCUGCCAACGCGGGGCUAAUACCGGAUGUGGUCCAGCAGACCCAUGUUUGCGGGAUUAAAGGUCGCGAGACCGCUUGGAGAUGAGCUUGCGGCCCAUUAGCUAGUUGGUGAGGUAACGGCCCACCAAGGCAGGGAUGGGUAGCCGGCCUGAGAGGGUGUACGGCCACAUUGGGACUGAGAUACGGCCCAGACUCCUACGGGAGGCAGCAGUAGGGUAAUUUUGCGCAAUGGACGGAAGUCUGACGCAGCAACGCCGCGUGGAGGGAAAGAAGGCCGUUCGGGUUAGUAAACCUCUGUCAUGGGGGAAGAAGGAAGUGACGGUACCCCAAGAGGAAGCCCCUGCUAACUACGUG